UGCGGGGUAGAUAAAAGGUAUAUCGCCACGCUCUGAACGUGGAAUUCUAGGUUCGAGUC
rnacentral:tRNA from 1 species